rnacentral:ncRNA from 1 species
GAGGUAGAGGCGCAGACAAUAUGAGUAGUCAACUGGAGAAUGACAACUGUGAUGGUUGAUAAAAGGAUUGUUUGCCGAAGCGUAAUGAGGGUCAGACUUAUUAUUGCUGGUACAUCUUUGAACAGGGGAUGCACUGUCAUGCUAACGAAUGUGCAUGGAGAACUACUGA